AACUGCUUUUUAGGGGAAUAAAGAGGGACACGCGUGUCCUGUUGCAUGUACCCUUAGAAUAAGGACCGGCUAAUUCCGUGCCAGCAGCCGCGGUAAUACGGAAGGUCCAGGUGUUAUCCGGAUUUAUUGGGUUUAAAGGGAGCGUAGGCCGCAGGUUAAGUGUGUUGUGAAAAGCAGUCGCCCAACGUCUGCCUUGCAGCGCAAACUGUCCUGCUUGAGUGCGCACAACGCAGGCGGAAUUCGUCGUGUAGCGGUGAAAUGCUUAGAUAUGACGAAGAACUCCGAUUGCGAAGGCAGCUUGCGGGAGCGCAACUGACGCUGAAGCUCGAAAGUGCGGGUAUCGAACAGGAUUAGAUACCCUGGUAGUCC
rnacentral:rRNA from 1 species